rnacentral:rRNA from 1 species
UGGGGAAUAUUGCACAAUGGGCGCAAGCCUGAUGCAGCCAUGCCGCGUGUAUGAAGAAGGCCUUCGGGUUGUAAAGUACUUUCAGCGGGGAGGAAGGGAGUAAAGUUAAUACCUUUGCUCAUUGACGUUACCCGCAGAAGAAGCACCGGCUAACUCCGUGCCAGCAGCCGCGGUAAUACGGAGGGUGCAAGCGUUAAUCGGAAUUACUGGGCGUAAAGCGCACGCAGGCGGUUUGUUAAGUCAGAUGUGAAAUCCCCGGGCUCAACCUGGGAACUGCAUCUGAUACUGGCAAGCUUGAUUCUCGUAGAGGGGGGUAGAAUUCCAGGUGUAGCGAUGAAAUGCGUAGAGAUCUGGAGGAAUACCGGUGGCGAAGGCGGCACCCUGGACGAAGACUGACGCUCAGGUGCGAAAGCGUGGGGAGCAAACAGG